rnacentral:rRNA from 1 species
UAAAGUUAAAGAGCCCCUAGGCUGUCGCACGCACUCUGGAAGCUCGAAACCCAGUAUACGAAAGUAACUUCAAAAUAAAUUUACCUGACCCCACGAAAGCUAAGAAACAAACUGGGAUUAGAUACCCCACUAUGCUUAGCCUUAAAACAAGAUGUACUUUUACACACACAUCCGCCCGGGUACUACGAGCACAGCUUAAAACCCAAAGGACUUGGCGGUGUCUCAGACCCACCUAGAGGAGCCUGUUCUAGAACCGAUAAACCCCGUUAAACCUCACCACUUCUUGCCCUUUCCGCCUAUAUACCGCCGUCGUCAGCUUACCCCGUGAAGGAAAAACAGUAAGCAAAAUUGGCAAAACCAAACACGUCAGGUCGAGGUGUAGCGAAUGAAGUGGAAAGAAAUGGGCUACAUUUUCUAAACACAGAAUAAACGAAUGACACCCUGAAAACAAGUCUGAAGGUGGAUUUAGUAGUAAAAAGCAAAUAGUGUGUACUUUUGAAUUAGGCUCUGAGACGCGCACACACCGCCCGUCACUC